GCCACUUCCAGCUGGUCAGCGGAAUGAAGGUCGCCUGUAUCGAGAUGAAUUCUGCAACUUGCAUUUCCACAAUGAAGACUGAAACCCGUUCCUCAGCACGACUGGACAAGUACAUGCCAAGCUGCCUCCCGUGCCCUUUCAGCUGCCUCCUGCGCCCUUGCAGCUGCCUCCUGCGCCCUUGCAGCUCCUGUGAAGGUCCGAGCACAAGCCGCCACCUCCUCUGCUGCUGCCUUCAUGGCCCGUGCAGCCUCCUCCCCAGCCUGUG